rnacentral:tRNA from 1 species
UCCCUGAUGGCUCAGUCAGUAGAGAAUCUGCCCGCAGUGCAGGAGACCCAGGUUUGAUCUCUGGGUAGGGAA